rnacentral:rRNA from 1 species
GAAGUAGGUCCCAAGGGUAUGGCUGUUCGCCAUUUAAAGUGGUACGCGAGCUGGGUUUAGAACGUCGUGAGACAGUUCGGUCCCUAUCUGCCGUGGGCGUUGGAUGAUUGAUUGGGGCUGCUCCUAGUACGAGAGGACCGGAGUGGACGCAUCACUGGUGUUCCAGUUGUCUCGCCAGAGGCAUUGCUGGGUAGCUAAAUGCGGAAGAGAUAAGUGCUGAAAGCAUCUAAGCACGAAACUUGCCAAGAGAUGAGUCAUCCCUGACUUUAAGUCAGUAAGGGUUGUUGUAGACUACGACGUAGAUAGGUCAGGUGUGUAAGUGUAGUGAUACAUUGAGCUAACAGAUACUAAUUGCCCGAGAGGCUUAACUAU